AAGAGCACAGGACAGAGGAAGCCAAAGGGAAGGAAGAAGGCCUCUCACUAUCUGGGAACUGCCUUGGUUUUUUCAGAUUCUGAUUCCUGCAGAGAAAGGGAAACAGGAACCUAAAGUUUACUUAGCACCUGUGACACAAUCAAGGUCAAGUAUCUGGCUGUGCUUUUUGUCUUACUGUCCUUAGCUGUCUCCUGUGACAGUUGAGGAUAGUCAUUCACUGACCUCUAGACAACUCUGACAUCAACAGAUAGUAGAAAAGUAUCUAGCCAACAAAAUAUCUAUCUAUUGAACAAGGGUGGACAAUCAGUAUUGUGAUGCAAACAGCCGGAGGAUCAGUGUGCUGGGUUCUCCUGCCUUAAUAUCCAUUUCUUCUUACCUCCUGGGGUGUGGACUGUGAGCAGCAGCUUCCAAUGAGCCUGAUGAUGUUCCUUAAGAGCUUGCUUGCUGGAGAAAAGGUAUAUACAAAAGUCCAAUUUUCUAAUGUUAAUAAUUAUUUAUUUUACAUUGUUUAAGUCCUUCCUUACUGUAUUUACUAUGUGCUUGGCACUGGGCUUAUGACUUUAGCUACACUACCCUUCUGCUGCUACUUGUUCCACUCUGUAUUUUCUCUCUUCUGUGUGUUGACACUUGUUUUCCUUCAACCUGGAGACCUUCAACACCACUGUAUUGUCACUG